rnacentral:rRNA from 1 species
AGUUUGAUCCUGGCUCAGGACGAACGCUGGCGGCGUGCCUAAUACAUGCAAGUCGAGCGGACCGACGGGAGCUUGCUCCCUUAGGUCAGCGGCGGACGGGUGAGUAACACGUGGGUAACCUGCCUGUAAGACUGGGAUAACUCCGGGAAACCGGGGCUAAUACCGGAUGCUUGAUUGAACCGCAUGGUUCAAUCAUAAAAGGUGGCUUUUAGCUACCACUUACAGAUGGACCCGCGGCGCAUUAGCUAGUUGGUGRGGUAACGGCUCACCAAGGCGACGAUGCGUAGCCGACCUGAGAGGGUGAUCGGCCACACUGGGACUGAGACACGGCCCAGACUCCUACGGGAGGCAGCAGUAGGGAAUCUUCCGCAAUGGACGAAAGUCUGACGGAGCAACGCCGCGUGAGUGAUGAAGGUUUUCGGAUCGUAAAACUCUGUUGUUAGGGAAGAACAAGUACCGUUCGAAUAGGGCGGYACCUUGACGGUACCUAACCAGAAAGCCACGGCUAACUACGUGCCAGCAGCCGCGGUAAUACGUAGGUGGCAAGCGUUGUCCGGAAUUAUUGGGCGUAAAGCGCGCGCAGGCGGUUUCUUAAGUCUGAUGUGAAAGCCCCCGGCUCAACCGGGGAGGGUCAUUGGAAACUGGGGAACUUGAGUGCAGAAGAGGAGAGUGGAAUUCCACGUGUAGCGGUGAAAUGCGUAGAGAUGUGGAGGAACACCAGUGGCGAAGGCGACUCUCUGGUCUGUAACUGACGCUGAGGCGCGAAAGCGUGGGGAGCGAACAGGAUUAGAUACCCUGGUAGUCC